rnacentral:lncRNA from 1 species
UAUAUAUAUAUAUAUGUAUAUAUAUAUAUAUAUAUAUAUAUAUAUAUAUAUAUAUAUAUAUAAUCUUUUACUCUUUUACUUGUUUCAGUCAUUUGACUGCGGCCAUGCUGGAGCACCGCCUUUAGUCGAGCAAAUCGACCCCGGGACUUUUUCUUUGUGAGCCCAGUACUUAUUCUAUCGGUCUCUUUUGCCAAACCGCUAAGUGACGGGGACGUAAACACACCAGCAUUGGUUGUCAAGCAAUGCUAGGGGGACAAACACACACACGCAUAUAUAUAUAUACACAUAUAUACGACGGGCUUCUUUCAGUUUCCGUCUACCAAAUCCACUCACAAGGCAUUGGUCGGCCCGGGGCUAUAGCAGAAGACACUUGCCCAAGAUGCCACGCAGUGGGACUGAACCCUGGACCAUGUGGUUGGUAAACAAGCUACUUACCACACAGCCACUCCUGCCCCAAUAUUAUAUAUAUAUAUUUUACUUGUUUCAGUCAUUUUGACUGUGGCCAUGCUGGAGCACAGCAUGGCUGCAUUCAAAAUGACUGAAACAAAUAGAAAAAUAAAAUGUAUAUACAAUGAGUUUCCACAGUUUCCCUUCACAAUGUAGAACAGUGGAGUGGGGUGGCUUGAGGCUCUAGUAGAUGAUAUUUGCCCAAUGGAGAUCCUGGGAAGGAGGGAGAGCCAUUCGUUAUAUGGAAACCCAUAAACACACCUGUCCAUCGCUACCUGCAUUGUUCCUUCCAAUCUAAACAAGGUGAGUGGAGAGAGAGAGGGUGGGAGGGAGAGAGAGAGAGAGAGGGAGGGAGAGAGAGUGAGAGGGUGGGAGAGAGAGAGGGAGGGAGAGAGAGGGAGAGCAAGGGGGGGAUGAUAAGGUGGUUUGUGUGUGGGAGGAUCCAGGGCAAUGCUGAUGGCAACGAUGAUGAUGAUGAUGAUGAUGACAAUCAAAUUUGAUAAUGAGGAUGGGGUUGAUGGUGAUGGUGGUGGUGAUGAUGAUGAUAAUGAUGAUGAUGAUGAUAAUGAUAAUGAUAACGAUCUAUGUCGAUAAUGGUGGUGUUGAAUAUGAUGGUGAUGAUGAUGACAAUGACGACGACGACAACGAUGAUGAUGAUGAUGAUGAUGAUGACAGCCAUGUUAAUAAAGAUGGUGUUGUUGAUGAUGACGAUGAUGAUGAUUUAUGCUUUUUCCUUUUUUUCUUUUUUUUUUUUUUUCAAACAUCCCCCCUCCCCUCCAACUAAACUAAACAAAUAUAUUUCCUUUGUAGAAGCUAAAAAUUUUAAACUAACAUCCACGGCUGAAUUGUUCUGUCAGUUUUAUUCCCUGCUUUUGUACUCAGAAAACUUUGAAUAUAUUUCAAUAAACCAUUUGGCUGUGAAAACAGCGAAUUGAUUCUAAUGACAAAUCUUUCACGUCAGAAUUGCAAUCGAUUUUGGUUGGCACACGUCAAUUUUUCAUGCUACAUACAUCGGAACAGACCCACACACACACACACACAGAUGUAUAUACAGACGUAUAUACAGACACACAGACAGUCACACACAGGUAAGUGUACAUAUAAAAGUACACAUACACACAGACAUGUGUACAUAUAUAUAAACACACACACACACACACACACACAGAUGUAUAUACAGACGUAUAUACAGACGUAUAUACAGACACACAGACAGUCACACACAGGUAGGUGUACAUAUAAAAGUACACAUACACACAGACAUGUGUACAUAUAUAUAAACACACACACACACACAGAUGUAUAUACAGACGUAUAUACAGACGUAUACAGACACACAGACAGUCACACACAGGUAAGUGUACAUAUAAAAGUACACAUACACACAGACAUGUGUACAUAUAUAUAAACACACACACACACACAGAUGUAUAUACAGACGUAUAUACAGACGUAUACAGACACACAGACAGUCACACACAGGUAAGUGUACAUAUAAAAGUACACAUACACACAGACAUGUGUACAUAUAUAUAAACACACACACACACACACACACACAGAUGUAUAUACAGAUGUAUAUACAGACGUAUACAGACACACAGACAGUCACACACAGGUAGGUGUACAUAUAAAAGUACACAUACACACAGACAUGUGUACAUAUAUAUAAACACACACACACACACACACACACAGAUGUAUAUACAGACACACACAUACACAUGUGAGUGUAAAGUGAAACACACACACAGUCACACACAGACAUGUGUAAAUAUAAAUGCACACACACACACACACAGAUGUAUAUAUAGACACACACGUACACACAUGGGUGUAAAGUGAAACACACAGAGAGCCACAUACAGGCAAGUGUACAUAUAAACGUGCACACACAUACAGACAUGUGUACAUAUAUAUAAACACACACACACGCAGAUGUAUAUACAAACCUACACGUACCCACGUGGGUAUAAAGUGAAGCACACAGACGUCAUAUACAGGCAGGUGUACAGAUAAACUCAUACAGACAGACACACACACACGUAUACAC